UGAUCUAAAUUAACCUCUCUCUAACCUAAUUGCUAGGUCUACGAACGCAACGGUGCACUCGGUUCGGCGAUCCGACGAGUGUACGCAGAGAUAUUGAGGAUCGAAGCCGUUAAGAUACAGAUUGCCGCAGCUCGCGGCGUAAGCUUCCAAAAAUCAUGAAAAUGGAAUCGUAGCAUCGUGGUAUCGGAGAAUAAACUCCAGAAUAGACGGAUCGCGGAUUGGUGGCCGUUCGGGUGGUCGCGCAAGAGUUUGGCCCGAACCGGAUCACGGGUGCCGCGGGAGGCCGAUUGCAAGUGACGACGAGCAAUCGGAAUGCGAUAAAAGGUGGGGGGUGUCCAUCCCGAAGUAACUGAGCUUCCUUUUAUGUCUAAGUUCUAUAUUUUGAUCAUAUUCCUAUAUGUUGAUAUAUUGUGCAUUAUAGGAUUAGUAGAUGAUUACAUUUCCAUUCCUUGCAUGUUACCUAGGUUGUGUAGCAUUGUGGGCUUGACACUUGAUCUUAGGUUGCAUGAGGAUUGGGUCUUGUGACAAGAAUCCUAUAGUGACAAGAAUGAUGAUGAACUUGGACAUGUAAUUGGCCUAGACGAGUGGCAUUUGGACUAGUGUAAUAAAGACACUAUAAUAUUGACGAGUGGCAUGUCGAUUUUGUGUAUUAAAACACAUAUAACAUCAUGACAUAAACGAGUGGCAUCAAAUCUAGUGUAGUGGAACACUAUGGCAUUUGAACCUAGGGAUAGUAGAUUUUUUCGAUUGUCAUGUUGUAGACAUUAUGUAUUUGGCAUUAGUGCAUUUGAGGC
rnacentral:lncRNA from 1 species